rnacentral:rRNA from 1 species
GACGAACGCUGGCGGCGUGCUUAACACAUGCAAGUCGAACGGACAGGUCCUGCUUUUGUGGGGUGCUCGAGUGGCGAACGGGUGAGUAACACGUGAGUAACAUGCACCUGACUUUGGGAUAAAUUCAGGAAACUGGGGCUAAUACCGGAUAGGAGAUCUUGAUGCACGGGGGGGGUUGGAAAGUUUCGGCGGUUGGGGAUGGACUCGCGGCUUAUCGGCUUGUUGGUGGGGUGGUGGCUUACCAAGGCUUUGACGGGUAGCCGGCCUGAGAGGGUGACCGGCCACAUUGGGACUGAGAGGCGGCCGAAACUCCGACGGGAGGGAGCAGUGGGGAAUAUUGCACGAGGGGCGGAAGCCUAAUGCAGCAACUCCGCGGGCGGGAUGACGGCCUUCGGGUUGUAAACCGCUUUCGCCUGUGACGAAGCGUGAGUGACGGGAAUGGGUAAAGAAGCACCGGCUAACUACGUG